GGGCGAAUGAGAGGCCAGCUGUGCUUCAGCUGCGGGCCCCAGUUGUUGUGACAAAGUGAAAAGUGUGGGCACCAACAGAUCAUUAACUGCGGAGCCAAAAAUAAGCUGAUGAUGGAAUCACAUGCUCUAAGGGGACAGGAGAACGGGGCCCGUCUAACGCGAGUGCUGGUUCCGGCCCAGGAGGGGACUAAGCCUUACCAGCCAGAGAAGUGUUUUCCCAAGAUUGGAGUUAUCAUGUCAUUUUGGUAGCUGUUUGAUCCACCUGGCCUGGAACUGGAGCCCUGAAUGCGCUCUGCUCCUCACGGACCUGCAUGACCUCAGGCUCUUUCUGUGCUUCAGUUCCUUUGUUUGGAGCACGGAGUGGAAAUGUAGCAGACAUCUUGACUUCAGAAGUGUGCUUCUUAACUUUAUUAAAGCAAGAUUUUGCACAUUUAUGCUUUGAAGAAAACGACUAGAUUAUGGAGCUCAUGAAGAUCAGAAGUCCGGCGUUUGCAGAGUUCAGACCGAUUGGGAGGAUACGCAUUCCAAGAAAUUACCUUAAGAUUUGUUUCACCAUUAAAGUGACAUUCUCAGCUGUGCUCCAAUCAACUGGAUAAAAGCGGAAAACCCAUCAGAAGUUGUUCCUGUUGACUAUCACCUUUCAAACCCUGCUUUGGAAGCACAGCGCUUCUCCCAGGGCCAUCAUUAGAGGCUCCUGGCUUCUUCCUUCUCUAAUCCACACUCCAUCCGGUUUUCUACAGUGCCAGCAACUUGCCUUUCCAGAUGCACGGUGGUGCUGCUUCCAGAAGGGCUCCCCACUGCCCACAGAAUUGAUGCCAGAGGCCAGCGUCUGCCAUUUGAGAAGCAUUUAAUCUGGGAGGACCAACCUUUCUAGACCCCAAUCCUGUAUCCCCAAGCCCCUCCCCAACACCAUAUGCUCAAGCCAUGCCGGACUUGUAGUUUCCUGAUUUUGUAGCCUUUCCCGUCCAUACCUCCAGCCUUCACGUGACCACAGCCCUAACUGACGUCUUGACUGCAACUUCAUGAGGGGCCGUGGGCCAGAAUCACCCAGCUAAGGCGCUCCUGGAUUCCCGACCCACAGCGCUGUGAUAAAUAAAUAGCUGUUGUUUUAAGAUGCUACGUUUUGGGGAAAUUUGUUACAGAAUAAUGGAUUCCCCUCCCUGGCCUGGUAUUGUUAUAAAUCAGCAGGAGGAUCCAAGCAACCUCCUGCUGUGUUGCUCAGAGUCGGCAAACUCCCCACACUAGAUUCGGCCCUCAUCACACGUCCGGAGUGGACAGUGUGGAAAUGGAGAGACAGGACAUGCAACUAAUGUGAAGCUUGAGGAGGAGAAAGCAGAAGACGAAGACCUGUUCACAAGUUGGUAGCUGGAUGCCUACAAUGUCUGAGCUGGCUUUUCCCCUUUUCUAUGAAGGGAGAGGCAGUAGAGCAGGGAGAAGAAUGAAUAUUUUGA
rnacentral:lncRNA from 1 species